CGCCUCGAUGAAGAUUAGAGGUGGGAGGUCCGGCGUCCGGAGCUGGGGUACGUUCCAGGGGCGCCGAGGGUGACCCGUCCGCCACCCCCGGGGGCUCCGCAGGGAAACACACUUCCUCUUUGGGGUCGCACAGUCCGGCAGGCUCCAUCACCCGCUUGCCUCCGUGGGUUCGAGCCCAAAGAGCUGGGCGAAACCCUUGCUUCCCGCAAAGAAUAUUUCUGGGGAGAAAAACGGGAAAGACGACUUCGGUUGACUCUUGCUUUCGUGGUCAGCCCGCCGGUCACGCUGAUGACAUCUUAACUCUCCGUUUUGCAAGGAAGCAGAAGGCAAGCAAAGGCAUCCAAGUAAAAUUAUAAUUAAAUCUCACUGAUGCUCGACAAGCUGGAAAAUUCAACCCAGCGUCUUCUACAAUAAAAAAUUUCCAUCACGAGGACGCCUGGGUGGCUCAGUUGGUUAGCGUCUGCCUUCGCCUCAGGUCGUGAUCCUGGAGUCCCGGGAUCGAGCCCCGCAUCGGGCUCCCUGCUCUGAGGGAAGCCUGCUUCUCCCUCUCCCACUCCCCCUGCUUGUGUUCCCUCUCUCGCUG